GCAUGGUGUUGGGUGUUGGGCACUUGCGGGUCCGAGACAACAUAAAGACAGAAUCUCUGAUUCUGAUAUCAGCUCAGACUACACUUGGUCACCUGCUGAGUCAAGCCCUGGGAGGAAGCUGAGAACACACUGCCCAACUCUAGAGGAGCCACCACAAGGACAGGAACAGAGUGGGGGAGAUGGACAGAUAAAGACACCUUGAAAUGCAACAGGGAAGUAGAGGUGGGGAGAGUUCAGAGAAAGAACCCCUGCUGUGGUAGGGGUUCCAUGCUGAACUUCCUGUGUGAACCUGAGCAGGGUGUGCACUUGAGUCUGCACUGGGAGGAAUCCAGCAGACUUUUCUUGGGGAGGGAUUAGUAUGUAAAGGGUAUGGAAAAGUGGAGAGCUUGGCUUUGGAGGGAUGUAGCUUUGAGUGAACUGAGGGCCCUGGGUGGGUUGGAAAUGGACCUGGAUCCCACUGUCUGCCAUGUGAGGCUCUUCUCCAGGCCCCAUUUUUAGGGUGUGGCCCGUGUUUUUU
rnacentral:lncRNA from 1 species